rnacentral:rRNA from 1 species
CACGUAGGGCGCGAGCGUUGUCCGGAAUUAUUGGGCGUAAAGAGCUUGUAGGCGGUUUGUCGCGUCUGCUGUGAAAUUUCGGGGCUCAACCCCGAACUUGCAGUGGGUACGGGCAGACUAGAGUGUGGUAGGGGAGACUGGAAUUCCUGGUGUAGCGGUGAAAUGCGCAGAUAUCAGGAGGAACACCGAUGGCGAAGGCAGGUCUCUGGGCCAUAACUGACGCUGAUGCACGAAAGCGUGGGGAGCAAACAGG